UCCUACGGGAGGGAGCAAUGGGGAAUUUUGGGCAAUGGGGGAAAGGCUUAUCCAACAAUGGCGGGUUAGUUAUUAAGGCCUUAAGGGUGUAAAGGUUUUUUACCCAGGAUUAUAAUGACCGGACUUGGGUAAUAAGCCCCGGCUAAAUCCGUGCCAGCAGCCGCGGUAAUACGGAGGGAGCUAGGGUUGUUUGGAAUUACUGGGGGUUAAGGGCAAGUUGGCGGCUUUCCAAGUCAUGGGUGAAAACCCCGGGGUCAACCCCGGAAAUGCCCUUGAAAAUGGAUGGUUAGAAGACUGGAGAGGUGAAUGGAAUUCCGAGUGGAGAGGUUAAAUUUGUAGAUAUUCGGAAGAACACCAGUGGCGAAGGGGACUCACUGGGCAGUUAUUGACGGUUAGGUUGGAAAGCGUGGGGAGCAAACAGGAUUAGAUACCCCGGUAGUCCACCCCGUAAACGAUUAUAACCAGCUUCCGAGCUCCUUGAGCUUGGGUGCGCAGCUAACGCAUUAA
rnacentral:rRNA from 1 species